AGAUUUGAGGCCAACCUGGGCAACCUUGCAAGAUGCUCCUGUCUCAAAAAAGCCAACCAGGGUAGAUUCAGCUGGCUGGGCAGGUGUCCCCUUCCUCCCUCAGGGCUCCAUGGAAGCCCCUGCUGCACACCCAGGGGAAGAGAACAACCCUUCCCUGAAGGAUUGCCCUUCCCUUGUGGAUCUCUGAGCUGCUGCAUUCUGCUGCUAUAACCUCUAAACCACAGAUUCUCAACCUGUGGUCAUGACCCUUUCAGGGGUUGUACAUCAGAUAUCCUGUGUAG
rnacentral:snRNA from 1 species